GAUGAACGCUAGCGGCAGGCUUAAUACAUGCAAGUCGAGGGGCAGCAUGGCUGUAGCAAUACAGCUGAUGGCGACCGGCAAACGGGUGCGGAACACGUACGCAACUUACCCAUAACUGAUGAAUAGCCGUCCGAAAGGAGGAUUAAUACAUCUGAAUACUUAUUGGUGGCAUCACCGAAACGUUAUAGCUCCGGCGGUUAUGGAUGGGCGUGCGGCUGAUUAGGUAGUUGGUUGAGGUAACGGCUCACCAAGCCUGCGAUCAGUAACUGGUGUGAGAGCACGACCAGUCACACGGGCACUGAGACACGGGCCCGACUCCUACGGGAGGCAGCAGUAAGGAAUAUUGGUCAAUGGACGCAAGUCUGAACCAGCCAUGCCGCGUGAAGGAUGAAGGUCCUCUGGAUUGUAAACUUCUUUUACAGGGGAGGAAACCCGGAAAUUCUUUUUCGGUUGACGGUACCCUGGGAAUAAGCACCGGCUAACUCCGUGCCAGCCGCCGCAGUAAAAC
rnacentral:rRNA from 1 species